CUGGGAUCCUGCAACUGCAAUCGCGAUGGGGCUGAAACAAUUUGAUGUUAUAAUUGACUUUGAACUAGAUUAGACGGUCUAGUAAGUCAAAUAGUAGUGAUAAAAAUAAAAAACUAAUGUAACGGCAAAAACAAAAAUUGUACUAUAGUAUCUGGUAAGUACUACUGUACUGUCUAUACGGUAGCCGUCAAAAAUAAAUUGAUACAUGAUGAUGAUGCAUCAUGGUACCGCCGAAUUAGCGGUGAGUUAGUUAGUUCAAAUAACGUUACAGGACAGGAGCUUCGAUAGAUUAGAUAUGCCCGAGAAAUACGUGACAAUAUUGGAUUGGAUGUCGUCACUCACAAUGUCGUCACUCACAACUUUACGCCACAAAUUCCCCAAUACGUGACAACUUUUUGAAAUAGAUUACAUUUUUUUCGUGUAUUUUCUUUGUGACUUCUUUGUUUCAGUAUGGCAUUAUUUGAUUUUUCAUCUUAGUGCGAUGUUCUUUCGAUCCCACGUCUUGUU
rnacentral:lncRNA from 1 species